GGGCUUCCUGGGGAGGGUGUGGCAGGGUGGUGGGCAUCCCCUCCCUCACCAAAGCAUGGGCUCUUUGUUUCCUCUUUGCCAGGCCUGGGUCCUUCCCAGUGACCCCUCAGCCUUCACUUCCUCCUCACUCCCGGGGAGCUGUGACAGGAAGAGGAGAUCCCAGAACUGGAGAUUGACGUGGAUGAGCUCCUGGACAUGGAGAGUGACGAUGCCCGGGCUGCCAGGGUCAAGGAGCUGCUGGUUGACUGUUACAAACCCACAGAGGCCUUCAUUUCUGGCCUGCUGGACAAGAUCCGGGGCAUGCAGAAGCUGAGCACACCCCAGAAGAAGUGACGGUCCCCGACCCAGGAGAACGGUGGCUCCCACAGGACAAUCGCUGCCCCCCAACCUCGUAGCAACAGCAAUACCGGGGGACCCUGCGGCCAGGCCUGGUGCCAUGAGCAGGGCUCCUCGUGCCCCUGGCCCAGGGGUCUCUUCCCCUGCCCCCUCAGUUUUCCACUUUUGGGGUUUUUUAUUGUUAUUAAACUGAUGGGACUUU
rnacentral:lncRNA from 1 species